GGGCGUGCCUAAUACAUGCAAGUCGAACGGUCUUUCUAUGGAAGCUUGCUUCCACUGAGAAGAUAGUGGCGGACGGGUGAGUAACACGUGGGUAACCUGCCCAUAAGAGGGGGAUAACAUCCGGAAACGGGUGCUAAUACCGCAUAGUUUUCUUGAUCGCAUGAUUGAGAAAGGAAAGACGGCCUUUGUGCUGUCGCUUAUGGAUGGACCCGCGGCGUAUUAGUUAGUUGGUGAGGUAAUGGCUCACCAAGACGAUGAUACGUAGCCGACCUGAGAGGGUGAUCGGCCACAUUGGGACUGAGACACGGCCCAAACUCCUACGGGAGGCAGCAGUAGGGAAUCUUCCGCAAUGGACGAAAGUCUGACGGAGCAACGCCGCGUGAGUGAAGAAGGGGUUUUCGGAUCGUAAAACUCUGUUGUCAGAGAAGAACAAGUUGGAGAGUAACUGCUCCAGCCUUGACGGUAUCUGACCAGAAAGCCACGGCUAACUACGUGCCAGCCGCCGC
rnacentral:rRNA from 1 species